AUUUGAUUUGGUUUUGGUUAGUAAUUUUAGUGCUUUUAUUUUACACAUGUAAGGAUUUUUUAUAUAAUUUUAAGCAGUGUUUGACUUUAAAUAUUUAGUUAGUUGAGAAUUAGAAAUAGAAGAGAGUUUUGAUAAAGCUUGUGCCAGCAAUUGCGGUUAUACAAGCAAUGCAACUAAAAUUUUUUGGUAAAUAAUUAAUUGUAAAUUUUUUGAUUUUUAAUUAAAUUUUUUAGGUGAAAUUUUAAAUUUAUAAAUUUUUUUAUAAUUGUUUAUGAAGUUGUUAAAAUUUUAUAUUAAACUAGGAUUAGAUACCCUAUUAUUAAAAUAGUAAAACUUUAUGCCUUGUUAUUAGUAGUUUAUUUUCUUGAAAAUAAAAAGAUUUGGCGGUAUUUUAGUCUUUUCAGAGGAACCUGUUCUUUAAUCGAUAGUCCACGAUUUGCUUUACUUUAUCUAUUAGUUUGUAUAUCGUCGUGAUUGAAUAUUUCAUUAGAAUAAAAAUAUUCAUAUAUUUAAAUAAAAAGGUAAAUCAGAUCAAGGUGCAGCUUAUGAUAAAGAAAGUAAUGGGUUACAAUAAAAUUAUUUUUGGUUUAUUGAUUUAAGGGUUAAUAAUAAAUAGGAUUUGACAGUAAUAUUAUUAAGAUAAAUAAUGUGAUUUAAGCUCUAAAGUAUGUACAUAUUGCCCGUCGCUCUCAUUUAAGGUGGGAUAAGUCGUAACAUAGUAGAUGUACUGGAAAGUGUAUCUAGAAAGAA
rnacentral:ncRNA from 1 species